rnacentral:rRNA from 1 species
UUAAGUCCCGUAACGAGCGCAACCCUUGUCCUUAGUUACCAGCACGUUAUGGUGGGCACUCUAAGGAGACUGCCGGUGACAAACCGGAGGAAGGUGGGGAUGACGUCAAGUCAUCAUGGCCCUUACGGCCUGGGCUACACACGUGCUACAAUGGUCGGUACAGAGGGUUGCCAAGCCGCGAGGUGGAGCUAAUCCCACAAAACCGAUCGUAGUCCGGAUCGCAGUCUGCAACUCGACUGCGUGAAGUCGGAAUCGCUAGUAAUCGCGAAUCAGAAUGUCGCGGUGAAUACGUUCCCGGGCCUUGUACACACCGCCCGUCACACCAUGGGAGUGG